GGGGUUAUAGUUAAUAAUAACAUUUGAUUUGCAUUCAAAAAGUACUGCCCACGGCAGUUAAUCUCA
rnacentral:tRNA from 1 species